AUACAGAGGGUGCAAGCGUUAAUCGGAAUUACUGGGCGUAAAGCGCACGUAGGUGGUUCAUUAAGUCAGAUGAGAAAGCCCCGGGCUCAACCUGGGAACUGCAUUUGAAACUGGUGAGCUAGAGUAUGGUAGAGGUAAGUGGAAUUCCAGGUGUAGCGGUGAAAUGCGUAGAUAUCUGGAGGAACAUCAGUGUCGAAGGCGACUUACUGGACCAAUACUGACACUGAGGUGCGAAAGCGUGGGGAGCAAACAGGAUUAGAAACCCCAGUAGUCC
rnacentral:rRNA from 1 species